GCUCAAUUGGUAUAGCACAAGGCUCUUAACCUUGUGGACGUGGAUUCAAGUCCCAU
rnacentral:tRNA from 1 species